rnacentral:tRNA from 1 species
CCCGCCAUAGCUCAACUUGGUAGAGCAUCCGGCUGUAGACCGGAUGGUUGGGUGUUCAAAUCACCCUGGCGGGA